rfam:Cephalotus follicularis DNA, scaffold: scaffold3968, isolate: St1.
AUACUUACCUGGACGGGGUCAAUAGGCGAUCAUUAAGGCUUAUGGCCUAGUUUGACGGCCCACAUUGCACUUAGUGGGUGCGUCAGUCUAACUUCUCCUUAUAGGAGAGUGUACGUCAAAAUUUGUUAAAGUGGGGGCCUGCGUUCGCGCGGCCCCUGU